UACGUAGGGGGCAAGCGUUGUCCGGAGUCAUUGGGCGUAAAGCGCGCGUAGGCGGCCCGGUAAGUCCGCUCUGAAAGUCCAGGGCUUAACCCUGGAAAGCGGGUGGAUACUGCCGGGCUUGAAUCCGGAAGAGGCGAGUGGAAUUCCUGGUGUAGCGGUGGAAUGCGCAGAUAUCAGGAGGAACACCGGUGGCGAAGGCGGGUCUCUGGGCAGUAACUGACGCUGAGGAGCGAAAGCGUGGGGAGCGAACAGG
rnacentral:rRNA from 1 species